CAGCAGCCGCGGUAAUACGGAGGGUGCGAGCGUUAAUCGGAAUUACUGGGCGUAAAGCGCGCGUAGGCGGCUUGAUCAGCCGGUUGUGAAAGCCCGGGGCUCAACCUGGGAACAGCAUCCGGAACUGUCAGGCUAGAGUGCAGGAGAGGAAGGUAGAAUUCCCGGUGUAGCGGUGAAAUGCGUAGAGAUCGGGAGGAAUACCAGUGGCGAAGGCGGCCUUCUGGACUGACACUGACGCUGAGGUGCGAAAGCGUGGGUAGCAAACAGGAUUAGAUACCCUGGUAGUCCACGCCGUAAACGAUGUCGACCAGCCGUUGGGUGCCUAGAGCACUUUGUGGCGAAGUUAACGCGAUAAGUCGACCGCCUGGGGAGUACGGCCGCAAGGUUAAAACUCAAAUGAAUUGACGGGGGCCCGCACAAGCGGUGGAGCAUGUGGUUUAAUUCGAUGCAACGCGAAGAACCUUACCUACCCUUGACAUCCUGCGAACUUGGUAGAGAUACCUUGGUGCCUUCGGGAGCGCAGAGACAGGUGCUGCAUGGCUGUCGUCAGCUCGUGUUGUGAAAUGUUGGGUUAAGUCCCGUAACGAGCGCAACCCCUGUCCUUAUUUGCCAGCACGUAAUGGUGGGAACUCUAAGGAGACUGCCGGUGACAAACCGGAGGAAGGUGGGGACGACGUCAAGUCAUCAUGGCCCUUACGGGUAGGGCUACACACGUGCUACAAUGGCCGGCACAAAGGGCUGCGAACUCGCGAGAGUCAGCGAAUCCCAUAAAGCCGGUCUCAGUCCGGAUCGGAGUCUGCAACUCGACUCCGUGAAGUCGGAAUCGCUAGUAAUCGUGAAUCAGAAUGUCACGGUGAAUACGUUCCCGGGCCUUGUACACACCGCCCGUCACACCAUGGAAGUGGACUGCACCAGAAGUGGUUAGCCUAACUUCGGAAGGCGAUGACCAAGGUGUGGUUCAUGACUGGGGUGAAGUCGUAACAAGGUAGCCGUA
rnacentral:rRNA from 1 species